rnacentral:rRNA from 1 species
AGUAGAGUGGCGCACGGGUGAGUAACACGUAGGUGACCUACCUCUUUGUUUGGGAUAACUCGAAGAAAUUUGAGCUAAUACCGAAUACGAUCAACAAAUUUGAAAGUAGUUGAUGAAAGAAUGCCUCUUCUUGAAAGCAUUCGCGUAGAGAUGGGCCUGCGGGACAUUAGCUUGUUGGUGGGGUAAUGGCCUACCAAGGCGACGAUGUCUAGCGGAUCUGAGAGGAUGAUCCGUCACACUGGAACUGAGACACGGUCCAGACUCC